rnacentral:misc_RNA from 1 species
GAAAUGCGAUAAGUAAUGUAAAUUGCAGAAUUCAGUGAAUCAUCGAAUCUUUGAACGCACCUUGCGCUCCUUGGUAUUCCUUGGAGCAUGCCUGUUUGAGUAUCAUGAAAUCUUCAAAGUAAAUCUUUUGUUAACUCAAUUGGUUUCUACUUUGGUAUUGGAGGUCUUUGCAGCUUCACACCUGCUCCUCUUUGUUCAUUAGCUGGAUCUCAGUGUUAUGCUUGGUUCCACUCGGCGUGAUAAGUUAUCUAUCGCUGAGGACACUGUAAAAGGUGGCCAAGGUAAAUGCAGAUGAACCGCUUCUAAUAGUCCUUUGACUUGGACAAUACUUUUAUGAUCUGAUCUCAAAUCAGGUAGGACUACCCGCUGAACUUAAGC